rnacentral:tRNA from 1 species
GCAGGGGUAGCCAAGCGGUCAAAGGCGCCAGAUUCAGGGUCUGGUCCCUCAGUGGGUUCAAGGGUUCAAAUCCCUUCCCCUGCA